rnacentral:rRNA from 1 species
CGUCUAUAUACGUAUAGCAUAUCAAUAAGCGGAGGAAAAGAAACUAACAAGGAUUCCCUUAGUAACGGCGAGUGAAGCGGGAAGAGCUCAAAUUUGAAAUCUUCAAGGUUUUACCUUGACGAAUUGUAGUUUAAAGAAGUGUUUUCUGUUGGAGUUUUGGUAAAAGUUCUUUGGAAUAGGACAUCAUAGAGGGUGAGAAUCCCGUAUUUGACCAUUAUUUCCAGCUUUGUGAUACACUUUCAAAGAGUCGGAUUGUUUGGGAAUGCAGUCCAAAAUGGGUGGUAAAUUUCAUCUAAAGCUAAAUAUUGGCGAGAGACCGAUAGCGAACAAGUACCGUGAGGGAAAGAUGAAAAGAACUUUGAAAAGAGAGUUAAACAGUACGUGAAAUUGUCAAAAGGGAAGCGUUUGACACCAGUGUUGUUUUCUCGAAAAUCAGUUAAAAAUGGUGGGAUUUUGUGUUGUAUUGACUUUAUCAGCUUUCUGCACUUUUUUCCUAUCUUUUUUAAUGCACUUUUCGUUUAACAAGUCAACAUCAAUUUCUUUUGUUGUAAAAGGUCAUUGGAAGGUGGCUUUCUUUUCGGAGAAAGUGUUUAUAGCCUUUGACUUCUGCAAUCGGAGAGAUUGAGGUCUGCAGCGUAGAUCCUUCGGGGUUAGAUGCAUUUGUGCUAAGUUAUAGCCUUUCAUAGACAACUUGUUGACUAUGAUCAGUCAUGUAGCUUACUCGCUUAUGUCAUUUUACCUACGCUUAGGAUGUUGACACACGCGCGUGCUCG